rnacentral:misc_RNA from 1 species
AACCUAGCACACCUGCGGUGUGUACCUGCGGAAGGAUCAUUACCGAGUUAGGGUAGUUACUCGCUGCCCGACCUCCCAACCCUGUGUCUACCACACUUUGUCGUUGCUUCGGCGGACCGGUCGACCAACUGGUCGUGACCGCCGGGGGCUGGCUCUGUCACCCCUGGAGAGCGUCCGCCGAUGGCCCAACCACAAACUCUUGUACCGAAACGUGUCGUCUGAAUAAUUGAGAAAUCAAAU